rnacentral:ncRNA from 1 species
AUCUCUUGGGGAGCUAACACAUAAGUUGGCUGAGACCGCGAAAGCUAAACCCAUCGACCUGAUCCAGAUAAUACUGGCGUAGGAAUGAGAUCU